rnacentral:rRNA from 1 species
GAUGAACGCUGGCGGCGUGCCUAAUACAUGCAAGUCGAGCGAACAGAUAAGGAGCUUGCUCCUUUGACGUUAGCGGCGGACGGGUGAGUAACACGUGGGUAACCUACCUAUAAGACUGGGAUAACUUCGGGAAACCGGAGCUAAUACCGGAUAACAUUUGGAACCGCAUGGUUCUAAAGUGAAAGAUGGUUUUGCUAUCACUUAUAGAUGGACCCGCGCCGUAUUAGCUAGUUGGUAAGGUAACGGCUUACCAAGGCAACGAUACGUAGCCGACCUGAGAGGGUGAUCGGCCACACUGGAACUGAGCCACGGUCCAGACUCCUACGGGAGGCAGCAGUAGGGAAUCUUCCGCAAUGGGCGAAAGCCUGACGGAGCAACGCCGCGUGAGUGAUGAAGGGUUUCGGCUCGUAAAACUCUGUUAUUAGGGAAGAACAAAUGUGUAAGUAACUGUGCACGUCUUGACGGUACCUAAUCAGAAAGCCACGGCUAACUACGUG